rnacentral:rRNA from 1 species
UACGGAGGGGGCUAGCGUUGUUCGGAAUUACUGGGCGUAAAGCGCACGUAGGCGGCUUUGUAAGUUAGAGGUGAAAGCCCAGGGCUUAACCCUGGAAUUGCCUUUAAGACUGCAUCGCUAGAAUCGUGGAGAGGUGAGUGGAAUUCCGAGUGUAGAGGUGAAAUUCGUAGAUAUUCGGAAGAACACCAGUAGCGAAGGCGGCACUCUGGGCCGGUACUGACGCUGAGGAGCGAAAGCGUGGGGAGCGAACAGG